rnacentral:lncRNA from 1 species
GCGCCUUGGAGAAAGGUACAGAGGAAAGUUGCUCCACACAGCACAAUACAGGGAGGAUGCCUGAGGAGUACAAUGGGAUCACAUGGUUAAUAGUUUUGAACACAUACGGGAAGGUAAGACUUCUGACUGAAGGCAUCAGUAAGAUCUGUGCAAGAGCCCCCAAAGCGUUCCCAAAGUUGCAGUGGGUCCCUAUGAAUGCGCUGUUGUAUCAAACUCAAGGGCUGUCAGGGAGGAAAAAAGGCAGGACAGUAAGGAGGCAGGGAAGUUAUGGAACGUCAGUGGAAAUAAGAAACAGGGCCAGGUAAGACUGGAGCCGACGGGGGGAAAAGGCUGUAAGAGAAUUCAUCCCAGUUGGGGGUUCUGGAGACCCGCCAAGCGGCUGCGUGCGCAAGGACAGAAAGUGAGCGUGGGUGGAAUCGCGAGGGAUGAAAGGACUCCAGAAUCCUAAGCUGGGGUAGGCGGUUCGUUUCCGGCAGAGCCGGGCGGGCCUGGCCGGGGUAGAUCGAGCCAGGGGAGCUGGGCCGCAGCACGCCAGCCCCGACCAGACAAGCCACGUUCCUACCCGUCCGCACGCGUCCGGCCGCAGGUCCUGGAAGUCGGAGCCGUAGAUGGCCUCCAGGGCCUGCAGCUCGUGGUCCUGUCGCUGUGGGUAGCUCUCCGGCGGCUCGUCCCGGCCACGCCCGUGGGCCCCGCGGCCCCCUGCCAUGGUAGUGCGGUGGGCAAGGCAAGGCAAGGCGGCCUUGCGGAGAAGUGCCUGCUGGAACUCCUUCACUCUGGCAUUGGUAGGAGACGAAACUCUGAAGGGCAGACUUUGAUGGGUUUUCCAGCCGCUUUGACUCCCCUUAAGCCUUCCCAGAAGACGACCAGGAGUAAAAAUCGAGACCACUACUCCCCUCCCCGCCAGUUUUUUACCCUCGAACUCGUCCCGUUAACCAUAGAUUCAACAUCCCAGUGCAUGUUCUCUGUUCCUACAUGUAGACCCUAGGGGUCAACAGUACCACCAUGCAAUUUCAACUGAAAAAUGUCUUUCCACUCAGGCAUCUUAUGAGCAACACUCCCAUGAAGAGA